rnacentral:rRNA from 1 species
AUGCUGGAGGUAUCAGAAGUGCGAAUGCUGACAUAAGUAACGAUAAUGCGGGUGAAAAACCCGCACGCCGGAAGACCAAGGGUUCCUGUCCAACGUUAAUCGGGGCAGGGUGAGUCGACCCCUAAGGCGAGGCUGAAAAGCGUAGUCGAUGGGAAACGGGUUAAUAUUCCCGUACUGGUGGUAACUGCGAUGGGGGAACGGAGAAGGCUAGGUUGUCCGGGCGACGGUCGUCCCGGUUCAAGCAUGUAGGCAGAGUGAUUAGGCAAAUCCGGUCACUUAAUGCUGAGGUGUGAUGACGAGCCACUAAGGUGGUGAAGCAAUUGAUGCCCUGCUUCCAGGAAAAGCCUCUAAGCUUCAGGUUACCAACAAUCGUACCCCAAACCGACACAGGUGGUCAGGUAGAGAAUACUCAGGCGCUUGAGAGAACUCGGGUGAAGGAACUAGGCAAAAUGGUGCCGUAACUUCGGGAGAAGGCACGCUGGCGGUAAGUGAAGUCCCUUGCGGACGGAGCCGAAGCCAGUCGAAGAUACCAGCUGGCUGCAACUGUUUAUUAAAAACACAGCACUGUGCAAACACGAAAGUGGACGUAUACGGUGUGACGCCUGCCCGGUGCUGGAAGGUUAAUUGAUGGGGUUAUCCUUAGGGAGAAGCUCUUGAUCGAAGCCCCAGUAAACGGCGGCCGUAACUAUAACGGUCCUAAGGUAGCGAAAUUCCUUGUCGGGUAAGUUCCGACCUGCACGAAUGGCGUAAUGAUGGCCAGGCUGUCUCCACCCGAGACUCAGUGAAAUUGAACUCGCUGUGAAGAUGCAGUGUACCCGCGGCAAGACGGAAAGACCCCGUGAACCUUUACUAUAGCUUGACACUGAACAUUGAGCCUUGAUGUGUAGGAUAGGUGGGAGACUAUGAAGUGUGGACGCCAGUCUGCAUGGAGUCAACCUUGAAAUACCACCCUUUAACGUUUGAUGUUCUAACCUAGGCCCGUGAUCCGGGUCGGGGACCGUGUCUGGUGGGUAGUUUGACUGGGGCGGUCUCCUCCUAAAGAGUAACGGAGGAGCACGAAGGUUGGCUAAGCAUGGUCGGACAUCAUGCGGUUAGUGCAAAGGCAUAAGCCAGCUUGACUGUGAGAGUGACGGCUCGAGCAGGUACGAAAGUAGGUCUUAGUGAUCCGGUGGUUCUGAAUGGAAGGGCCAUCGCUCAACGGAUAAAAGGUACUCCGGGGAUAACAGGCUGAUACCGCCCAAGAGUUCAUAUCGACGGCGGUGUUUGGCACCUCGAUGUCGGCUCAUCACAUCCUGGGGCUGAAGUAGGUCCCAAGGGUAUGGCUGUUCGCCAUUUAAAGUGGUACGCGAGCUGGGUUUAGAACGUCGUGAGACAGUUCGGUCCCUAUCUGCCGUGGGCGUUGGAAGAUUGAGAGGGGUUGCUCCUAGUACGAGAGGACCGGAGUGAACGCACCACUGGUGUUCGGGUUGUCAUGCCAAUGGCAUUGCCCGGUAGCUAAGUGCGGAAGAGAUAACCGCUGAAAGCAUCUAAGCGGGAAACUUGCCUCGAGAUGAGUCUUCCCUGUCACCUUGAGUGACCUAAAGGAACGUUUAAGACUAAGACGUUGAUAGGCUGGGUGUGUAAGCGUAGCGAUACGUUGAGCUAACCAGUACUAAUGAACCGUGAGGCUUAACCUGACAACACCGAAGGUGUUU